rnacentral:rRNA from 1 species
GAUAAACGCUGGCGGCGCACAUAAGACAUGCAAGUCGAACGGACCAAAUGCAUUGUUUACAUUGCAAGAGGUUAGUGGCGGACUGGUGAGUAACACGUAAGCAACCUACCUAGAAGAGGGGAAUAACAGCGAGAAAUCGCUGCUAAUACCGCAUACCUUGACUUUAUUGCAUGAUGAAGUUAAGAAAGGAGCAAUCCGCUUUUAGAUGGGCUUGCGUCUGAUUAGACAGUUGGUGAGGUAACGGCUCACCAAAUCCACGAUCGGUAGGGGGUCUGAGAGGACUACCCCCCACACUGGUACUGAGAUACGGACCAG